rnacentral:misc_RNA from 1 species
GGAAGGAUCAUUAACACGUGAAAACGUAUUAACAUCUACCUUUCUACCACCCGUGAAUGUAAAACCCCGUCCCUAAUCUCUGGAUAUGGUAGCGUAUGAUAUGUAGUAGGAUAUGAUUCGGCGCAAGCUGUCUCAUAUGCAAUCGUGCGCUUGCCUAAGGUUUCGAACCUGUAGUAUCCAGUAGUAUUAGGCUUUUUUUCUUUUUUUUCCCCUACUACAAAAAACCAAAACCAACCAAUUUCACCUCUGAAACCUCAUCUUGACUGAUGUAUGUUGAAUGUAAAGAAAUUUACGUGUUCAACACCAUUUAUCUAAACUAAGCACAACUCUUAGCAAUGGAUAUCUUGGUUCUCGCAACGAUGAAGAACGCAGCGAAAUGCGAUAUGUAAUGCGAAUUGCAGAAUUCAGUGAAUCAUCAAAUCUUUGAACGCAAAUGGCGCUCUCGGGAUAGACCUGGGAGCACGCCUCUCUGAGUAUCGGUUCAACCUUCACUCGUCUGCGUACUUGCUUGCAAGCUACGUAGCCGGAUAAUGAGAGUCCAAGCUGAAACAGCUUCGUCUCUUGAAAUCGAUGGAGCUUUCAAUCUCCUAGUACCUGUGCCGAUGCAAAUCGGUACUAGCCUCUCUUUGGCGACUAUUCAACUAGUGACGUGGAUAACAUCACGUAGUGAUACGAAACGUCUCAGCUCGUUGAAUUGGUCAUCUAGUCUAGAAAGAGUGCGAACAUGCUAGUGUGACUGCUAAGCGUUUGAAUUGAUCCCGUACAUGCGGUAGCUUUCGAGCCGCCUGUGUACGUAUUGACAUUAGAUCUCAGAUGAAGCGAGAAGACCCCCUGAAUUUAAGCAUAUUAAUAAGGGGAGGAAAAGAAACUAACAAGGAUUCCCCCAGUAACGGCGAGUGAAGCGGGAUGAGCUCAAUAUGAAAAUCGUACACCCAGGCGGGUUUACGAAUUGUAGCCUAGAGACGUGUGAUCAGCGAUAGCCCAGGUAUAAGUCCUUUGGAAGAAGGCAUCAGCGAGGGUGAGAAUCCCGUGUUUGACCUGGAGUCUGUCGCGUACGAUGCAUGUUCAUCGAGUCGAGUUGUUUGGGAUUGCAGCUCUAAAUGGGUGGUAAGUUUCAUCUAAAGCUAAAUAUUGGCGAGAGACCGAUAGCGAACAAGUACCGUGAGGGAAAGAUGAAAAGAACUUUGAAAAGAGAGUUAAAUCAGUACUUGAAAUUGCUAAGAGGGAACGGCUGAACACCAGUGCUGCUGGUUGUCAUUUUUGCUGUGAAUCGAUGAACAUGAGGUGUCGAGUUGGUAACUCUCGUAGCUUCAUGCAGAGGUCGGUUUGUAGUACUGUGAUGAUUGGCGUGUCAGAAUCGGUUCGAGGCGCGGGAGAAGGCAUGUAGGAAGGUAGGGUGUUUCGGCACCUGUUAUAGCCUAUGUGUUCUACCGUGUAUUGGACCGAGGAAUCAUGUUGCGCCUGCUGGCUUGAAACGAUGCUCCGUGUGUGUAGACAGUGCGUGGAUAACAAUGUUAUGCUGUGCUGUCUAUGUGUUCUUGAGUGUCUGCUUUCAUAUGCAACAUCGUGAUUCUGACGAAAUGGUUUUCAUCCACCCGUCUUGAAACACGGACCAAGGAGUCUAACAUAUAUGCGAGUAUUUGGGUGGUAAACCCUGGUGCGUAAUGAAAGUAAAGGUAGUUUCGGCUGCUGAGGUAGGAAUCUGGUAACAGAGGCACUAUCGACCGAUCAUCACUUGUGAAAGAUUUGAGUAAGAGCAUAUCUGUUGGGACCCGAAAGAUGGUGAUCUAUGCCUGAACAGGGUGAAGCCAGGGGAAACUCUGGUGGAAGCUCGUAGCGAUACUGACGUGCAAAUCGUUCGUCUGAUUUGGGUAUAGGGGCGAAAGACUAAUCGAACCAUCUAGUAGCUGGUUCCCUC